GAAGUCUGCAAGAUGAUCGCUGUGGUUUAAUCCAUGGAGGAAAGUCCGAACACCAGAGGGCAGGAUGCUCCGUAACGCGGAGUCAUGGCAACAUGGGGAAAGUGCAACAGAAAGUAUACCGCCGUUAAUAACGGUAAGGGUGAAAAGGUGCGGUAAGAGCGCACCAGUUCUUCGGGUGACCGGAGAAGCUUUGUAAACCCCAUCCGGUGCAAGACCAAAUAGGGGAGUGAUUGAGGGCUGCCCGUCCGAUGCUUCCGGGUAGGUCGCUGGAAAUAUCUGGCAACAGAUAUUCAAGAUGAAUGAUCAUCACCUGUUUUACAGGCACAGAAUUCGGCUUAUUGCAGGCUUUGACC
rnacentral:RNase_P_RNA from 1 species